GUGAAGAAAUUCACAAAAACUUAUACCCCUUUGUUUGACCGUGGAAAUUUCUCCCAUCCCCUUUGUUCGUAAGGAAAAAGGUUCGGCGGCUUCGCCGAACCUUUUU
rnacentral:sRNA from 12 species